rnacentral:tRNA from 1 species
GGGCAGGUGGCCGAGGGGACAAUGGCACCAGACUGUAAAUCUGGCGGCGAAGCCUUCGGAGGUUCGAAUCCUUCCCUGCCCA